rnacentral:snRNA from 1 species
GUGCUUGCUUCGGCAGCACAUAUAUUAAAAUUGGAAUGAUACAGAGAAGAUUAGCAUGGCCCCUGCUCAAGGAUGAUAGGCUAAUUCGUGAAGCAUCCAUGUUUUUA